GACGAACGCUGGCGGCGUGCCUAAUACAUGCAAGUCGAACGCUUCUUUCCUCCCGAGUGCUUGCACUCAAUUGGAAAGAGGAGUGGCGGACGGGUGAGUAACACGUGGGUAACCUAGCCAUCAGAGGGGGAUAACACUUGGAAACAGGUGCUAAUACCGCAUAACAGUUUAUGCCGCAUGGCAUAAGAGUGAAAGGCGCUUUCGGGUGUCGCUGAUGGAUGGACCCGCGGUGCAUUAGCUAGUUGGUGAGGUAACGGCUCACCAAGGCCACGAUGCAUAGCCGACCUGAGAGGGUGAUCGGCCACACUGGGACUGAGACACGGCCCAGACUCCUACGGGAGGCAGCAGUAGGGAAUCUUCGGCAAUGGACGAAAGUCUGACCGAGCAACGCCGCGUGAGUGAAGAAGGUUUUCGGAUCGUAAAACUCUGUUGUUAGAGAAGAACAAGGACGUUAGUAACUGAACGUCCCCUGACGGUAUCUAACCAGAAAGCCACGGCUAACUACGUG
rnacentral:rRNA from 1 species